GACGAACGCUGGCGGCGUGCUUAACACAUGCAAGUCGAACGGAAAGGCCCUGCUUUUGUGGGGUGCUCGAGUGGCGAACGGGUGAGUAACACGUGAGUAACCUGCCCUUGACUUUGGGAUAACUUCACGAAACUGGGGCUAAUACCGGAUAGGAGCUCCUGCUGCAUGGUGGGGGUUGGAAAGUUUCGGCGGUUGGGGAUGGACUCGCGGCUUAUCAGCUUGUUGGUGGGGUAGUGGCUUACCAAGGCUUUGACGGGUAGCCGGCCUGAGAGGGUGACCGGCCACAUUGGGACUGAGAUACGGCCCAGACUCCUACGGGAGGCAGCAGUGGGGAAUAUUGCACAAUGGGCGGAAGCCUGAUGCAGCAACGCCGCGUGCGGGAUGACGGCCUUCGAGUUGUAAACCGCUUUCGCCUGUGACGAAGCGUGAGUGACGGUAAUGGGUAAAGAAGCACCGGCUAACUACGUG
rnacentral:rRNA from 1 species